AUUGAACGCUGGCGGCAGGCUUAACACAUGCAAGUCGAGCGGAGAUGAGGUGCUUGCACCUUAUCUUAGCGGCGGACGGGUGAGUAAUGCUUAGGAAUCUGCCUAUUAGUGGGGGACAACAUUCCGAAAAGAAUGCUGAUACCGCAUACGUCCUACGGGAGAAAGCAGGGGAUCUUCGGACCUUGCGCUAAUAGAUGAGCCUAAGUCGGAUUAGCUAGUUGGUGGGGUAAAGGCCUACCAAGGCGACGAUCUGUAGCGGGUCUGAGAGGAUGAUCCGCCACACUGGGACUGAGACACGGCCCAGACUCCUACGGGAGGCAGCAGUGGGGAAUAUUGGACAAUGGGGGGAACCCUGAUCCAGCCAUGCCGCGUGUGUGAAGAAGGCCUUAUGGUUGUAAAGCACUUUAAGCGAGGAGGAGGCUACUGAGACUAAUACUCUUGGAUAGUGGACGUUACUCGCAGAAUAAGCACCGGCUAACUCUGUGCCAGCCGCCGCCGUAAAAC
rnacentral:rRNA from 1 species